CUCCAAAAUAUACUUAAGUAAAGUAGUGAAGUAUUUUUACUUCGUUACUAUACAACACUGCUAAUAACCAUAAGACAGCAUCUGUGAGAGAAGUCCUUAAGGAACAAAACAAAGACUUCAAAGGUCACACCUCCUCCAAAGUCCAAACGGAGCAGUUUGUUGAAUGGAAGAACAAAACAUGGCAAGGUGGAAGAAAGAUCUUAGACAAAUCUCCAGUGAUCAUGACAUGACAAGCAGGAGCAUCGGAGCAAGCCUGCUGUGUUGAUGCUGCAGUGAGCAUUUCUUUUGACUGAGGUUCCUCAUAACUCCCAUCUGACAAAUGACUUCUUCCAAUGACCAGAGAUCAACAGUGACAGUGGAGAAGAUGGCCCUAAAACAUAGAAAGAACAGAAGGUUGAAUGCAGACAGAUCCUCAUAAGACUAAGAGCUCUGCACUGUGAUAAAACACUUGAAUGGAGACGUGAUUUAAUCAUGUUCUCACACAGACACUUCCACGCGGAGACAAAGGAUCUGAAAGGUUAAGUGAAAAAUAUUUAUUUUUUUAACAGAGUGGCGGAAACG